UUAACAGCAGGUGUCCUAAGUAGUUAAGAGUUAACAGCAGGUGUCCUAAGUAGUUAAGAGUUAACAGCAGCUGUCCUAAGUAGUUAAGAGUUAACAGCAGCUGUCCUAAGUAGUUAAGAGUUAACAGCAGGUGUCCUAAGUAGUUAAGAGUUAACAGCAGGUGUCCUAAGUAGUUAAGAGUUAACAGCAGCUGUCCUAAGUAGUUAAGAGUUAACAGCAGCUGUCCUAAGUAGUUAAGAGUUAACAGCAGGUGUCCUAAGUAGUUAAGAGUUAACAGCAGCUGUCCUAAGUAGUUAAGAGUUAACAGCAGGUGUCCUAAGUAGUUAAGAGUUAACAGCAGGUGUCCUAAGUAGUUAAGAGUUAACAGCAGGUGUCCUAAGUAGUUAAUAGUUAACAGCAGGUGUCCUAAGUAGUUAAGAGUUAACAGCAGGUGUCCUAAGUAGUUAAGAGUUAACAGCAGGUGUCCUAAGUAGUUAAGAGUUAACAGCAGGUGUACUAUAAUACUAUAGAAUAAUGCAGUGAGUCAGUGGUUCCUGAGCCACAUGUAAUUGCAUUGCAGUAGGUAAAAAUAAUGUUUGA